GACGAACGCUGGCGGCAUGCUUAACACAUGCAAGUCGAACGAAGCAUCUGUGCUUGCAUAGAUGACUGAGUGGCAAACGGGUGAGUAACACGUGGGAACUUACCCUUCAGAGGGGGACAAGCACUGGAAACGGUGUCUAAUACCGCAUACGCCCUACGGGGGAAAGGAGCAAUUCGCUGAAGGAGAGGCCCGCGGCAGAUUAGGUAGUUGGUAGGGUAAAGGCCUACCAAGCCGAUGAUCUGUAGCUGGUUUGAGAGGAUGAUCAGCCACACUGGAACUGAAACACGGUCCAGACUCCUACGGGAGGCAGCAGUGGGGAAUAUUGGACAAUGAGGGCAACCCUGAUCCAGCCAUGCCGCGUGAGUGAAGAAGGCCUUCGGGUUGUAAAGCUCUUUCGGCCGGGAAAAAAAUCGCAUGGAUUAAUACUCUGUGUGGAUGAUGGUACCGGAAUAAGAAGCACCGGCUAACUACGUGCCAGCCGCCGCGGUAAUAC
rnacentral:rRNA from 1 species